CAGCGACGCCGCGUGGGGGAAGAAGGCCUUCGGGUCGUAAACCCCUGUUCUGGGGGAAGAAGCCUCACUUAGUGAAGAGCUAGGUGGGGUUGACGGUACUUCAGGAGAAAGCCACGGCUAACUGCGUGCCAGCAGCCGCGGUAAUACGCAGGUGGCGAGCGUUGCCCGGAGUUAUUGGGCGUAAAGGGUGCGUAGGCGGCGGGGUAAGUUGCCGGUUAAAGGCUGGGGCUCAACCCUAGUGGGGCCGGCAAUACUGCUCUGCUUGAGGGCCGGAGAGGCUGGUGGAAUUCCCGGUGUAGGGGUGAAAUCCGUAGAUAUCGGGAGGAACACCGGUGGGGAAGUCGGCCAUCUGGACGGUACCUGACGCUGAGGCACGAAAGCGUGGGGAGCAAACCGGAUUAGAUACCCGGGUAGUCCACGCUGUAAACGAUGGGUGCUAGGUCUGGGGAGGAAACUUUCUGGGCCGUAGCUAACGCGUUAAGCACCCCGCCUGGG
rnacentral:rRNA from 1 species